rnacentral:rRNA from 1 species
AGCGAACGCUGGCGGCAGGCCUAACACAUGCAAGUCGAACGAAGUCUUCGGACUUAGUGGCGGACGGGUGAGUAACACGUGGGAACGUGCCUUUAGGUUCGGAAUAACUCAGGGAAACUUGUGCUAAUACCGAAUGUGCCCUUCGGGGGAAAGAUUUAUCGCCUUUAGGGCGGCCCGCGUCUGAUUAGCUAGUUGGUGAGGUAAAGGCUCACCAAGGGGACGAUCAGUAGCUGGUCUGAGAGGAUGAUCAGCCACAUUGGGACUGAGACACGGCCCAAACUCCUACGGGAGGCAGCAGUGGGGAAUCUUGCGCAAUGGGCGAAAGCCUGACGCAGCCAUGCCGCGUGAAUGAUGAAGGUCUUAGGAUUGUAAAAUUCUUUCACCGGGGACGAUAAUGACGGUACCCGGAGAAGAAGCCCCGGCUAACUUCGUGCCAGCAGCCGCGGUAACAC